rnacentral:rRNA from 1 species
AGCACCCGCGGUAAUUCCAGCUCCAAUAGCGUAUAUUAAAGUUGUUGCAGUUAAAAAGCUCGUAGUUGAAUUUCGGGAUCAAUAUGUCGGUCGUGCCUCGGUACGUACUGGCGUAAUUGGUUUCUCCCUUCUGAAGAACCUCGAUGUCAUUAAUUUGGUGUCGUGGGGAAUCAGGACUGUUACUUUGAAAAAAUUAGAGUGUUUAAAGCAGGCUCGCGCUUGAAUACAUUAGCAUGGAAUAAUGAAAUAGGACGUUUGAUUCUAUUUUGUUGGUUUCUAGGACCGAUGUAAUGAUUAAUAGGGAUAGUUGGGGGCAUUAGUAUUCAAUUGUCAGAGGUGAAAUUCUUGGAUUUAUUGAAGACUAACUACUGCGAAAGCAUUUGCCAAGGAUGUUUUCAUUAAUCAAGAACGAGAGUUAGGGGAUCGAAGACGAUCAGAUACCGUCGUAGUCUUAACCAUAAACUAUGCCGACUAGGGAUCGGAUGAUGUUAAUUUUUAAUGACUCAUUCGGCGCCUUACG